UCGUCCUCUGAGUACCGAACAGUUGGCAGGCUUUUCGGUGUAGCUCCAAACAGUGUGUGUAAUAUCCUGCACGAGUUUUGCAGAGCACUUAUCGACGAGUUUUCAAAGGAGUACAUGUCGCCCAAUUACCUAACUUCCGACAAAAUUUAUGAGUGCGUAAAGGGAUUCGAGGCAAUUGGGUUUCCUCAGUGCCUAGGUGCAAUUGAUGGAUGCCACAUCGAAAUAAAACCACCAGCACCUGAGGCAGUAGACCACCAUAACUAUAAGGGCUGGUAUUCCACAGUCUUGUUUGCCCUAGUGGAUUAUAGAUACAGAUUUACAUAUGUAUGUAAAUAUCGGCUCUGCAGGAAGGUGCAAUGACUCGAUGAUAUACCAGAAGUCAAGCCUUGCAAAACAUAUCGAAGCAUCGGCAUUACUCCAAGAGAAAGCCAAGGAAAUAAGCGGAGUAAACGUCCCUGUAAUGCUUAUCGGGGACUCGGCAUUUAGGUUUUCUAAAAAGCUGAUGAAACCUUACCCGUUUUCCACAGUCGCCUCUUUGGAACAGCGCACGUUUAACUACAACCUUUCCAAAGCUAGGCGAGUGGUGGAAAAUGCAUUUGGGCAUUUAAAAGCCAGAUUUCGAAUAAUCGGAAAAGGUCUUGAUAGCCACCACAAAAAUAAUAGCGCCAUAAUAAUGAGCUGUUGUAUUUUACACAAUAUAUUAAAUAUGCACAACAGCGCGAUUAAUGAAAAUUGGGAGCUUGCAACAAAUGAGCAGCGCGAACAGCCCGAUACCAGCAACAGUUCUGCUGACUUUAAUCAGUCAGCAGAACAGAUACGAUCUGCAAUCGCAAAAUAUUGUGUAGACCUUAAUGAAAAUUAAAAACUUAUUUUUUUUUAUUUUUUAAAACUUCUAAUAAGUCGUUCUGGAAUUUUGUUUGGGUGCUGAUCAAGUCCUGCACCAUCUUCUCCUGCCUAACGUCGUGCUCCUCCUUCUUUCUGUGGUGGUCCUUUUGUUGUUCGAGACGCUCCUGGGCGAUCUCUGCCAGCCACGAAAUGUCGGUCUUUUUCUUUUUCUUUGGCGGACGCCCCGGCAAGGGGCUGGAGCUGCAAGAUCCGUCCAGGUCCAUCUCAAUAAUAUCCGAAAAGUACUCAUCAGGAUCUGCAAUGAACACCUUAAAUGAAAUAUAUUUUUUUAGCAAUAAAUUAAUAAAACUUACUGUCGUUGUCCAAUGUGCUCUGCUCCAUGUUGUUUGCACUCAAGAUGCCAAA